rnacentral:rRNA from 1 species
GACGAACGCUGGCGGCGUGCUUAACACAUGCAAGUCGAACGGAAAGGCCCUGCUUUUGUGGGGUGCUCGAGUGGCGAACGGGUGAGUAACACGUGAGUAACCUGCCCUUGACUUUGGGAUAACUUCAGGAAACUGGGGCUAAUACCGGAUAGGAGCUCCUGCUGCAUGGUGGGGGUUGGAAAGUUUCGGCGGUUGGGGAUGGACUCGCGGCUUAUCAGCUUGUUGGUGGGGUAGUGGCUUACCAAGGCUUUGACGGGUAGCCGGCCUGAGAGGGUGACCGGCCACAUUGGGACUGAGAUACGGCCCAGACUCCUACUGGAGGCAGCGGUGGGGAAUAUUGCACAAUGGGCGGAAGCCUGAUGCAGCAACGCCGCGUGCGGGAUGACGGCCUUCGGGUUGUAAACCGCUUUCGCCUGUGACGAAGCGUGAGUGACGGUAAUGGGUAAAGAAGCACCGGCUAACUACGUG